UAACCUCUGACGAAGACCGUGAAUGUUA
rnacentral:ncRNA from 1 species